rnacentral:lncRNA from 1 species
GGAGGCACUGAACUGUUUGGCUGAGUCUUUCUUUCAGCUGGACAUCUCUACAUUCAGCAGGUCCCAGAGCUGCCCACAUCAUGUCCUGGGCACCCUCCCGGGACCUGUCCAUUGUGCUGCCACUCCUGUGGUCUAUUCUUCUCUUCCCUUCCCAAUGGAGUUGUACUCAUCUUCCUCUCUUGUUCCUACUUCUCCCUGGACACCCGACUACUCGUGAGCACUCCUCUCGGAUGUACUGGCCUUGUAGCAGAGAUUGCUGUGAGCUGCUCCUGACGGGACUGUGUUGCAGCCUCCCGAGGUCCAAAAAAAAAAAAUCAAUGAGCCUUUGAAUCUAG